rnacentral:rRNA from 1 species
CAGCCACACUGGGAUUGAGAUACGGCCCAGACUCCUACGGGAGGCAGCAGCAAGGAAUUUUGUGCAAUGGGCGAAAGCCUGACACAGCGACGCCGCGUGGGGGAUGAAGGCCUUCGGGUUGUAAACCCCUUUUCUCAGGGAAGAAUAAUGACGGUACCUGGGGAAUAAGUCUUGGCUAACUACGUGCCAGCAGCCGCGGUAAUACGUAGGAGGCGAGCGUUAUCCGGAUUUACUGGGCGUAAAGAGGGCGUAGGCAGUUUUUCAAGUCGAUUGUAAAAUCUCCCGGCUUAACUGGGAGGGGCCAGUCGAUACUGUUAGACUAGAGAGCAGCAGGGGGAGGUGGAAUUCCCGGUGUAGUGGUGAAAUGUGUAGAUAUCGGGAGGAACACCAGUGGCGAAGGCGGCCUCCUAGGCUGUUUCUGACGCUGAGGUCCGAAAGCGUGGGGAGCAAACAGGAUCAGAUACCCUGGUAGUCCACGCUGUAAACUAUGGACACUAGGUAUAGGGAGUAUCGACCCUCUCUGUGCCGAAGCUAACGCAUUAAGUGUCCCGCCUGGGGAGUACGGCCGCAAGGCUAAAACUCAAAGGAAUUGACGGGGGCCCGCACAAGCAGCGGAGCGUGUGGUUUAAUUCGAUGCAACGCGAAGAACCUUACCAAGGCUUGACAUGUCGGAAGUAGCGACCCGAAAGGGAAGCCACCUGUUGAGUCAGGAACCGUCACAGGUGCUGCAUGGCUGUCGUCAGCUCGUGCUGUGAAGUGUUAGGUUAAGUCCUGUAACGAGCGCAACCCUCGUUGCCAGUUGUUUUCUCUGGCGAGACUGCCCUGCAAAAUGGGGAGGAAGGUGGGGAUGACGUCAAGUCAGCACGGCCCUUAUGCCUUGGGCUACACACACGCUACA